AGAAGAUGCCAUAGGAAUGCCCUGCUUUCACCAGGGAAUACAAGUUAUGUCCUCUGCAGCAGUACUUUAAGCCAAGCCUCAACUUGGACGGACUAGAAGCUACUGAGUGCUAACAGCUGCUUAUUUGGGGAUCUUGAUCCUGGUCACCCUCUGGCACUGAGGAGACUCAGGUUGACAGUGUGAGAUCCUGCCAAAUGUCCCUCACAGCUGCAGUUUGAGUAAAACCUGACAGGGAAACAACAAUCUGCAGGCAUCAAUUGCAG